rnacentral:tRNA from 1 species
AAUAAGGUGCCUGACUAAAGGAUUAUUUUGAUAGAAUAAAUUAAGUAUUACUACUCUUAUUG